CAGUAUUGUGCAAUAGCAAGAAAUUUUCAAUUGCACAGUAUUGCGCAAUAGCAAGAAAUCUUCAAUUGCACAGUAUUGUGCAAUAGCAAAUAUUUUCAAUUGCAUAGUAUUGCGCAAUAGCAAGAAAUAUCUAAUUGCACAAUAUUGUGCAAUAGCAAGAAAUUUUCAAUUGAUUGGAGUUAUCUUUCUUUGUCCAGAAUAGUAGUUGAAUCAACUUAAAUCAUUGUUUUAUACAAUACACAAUGUAUAUUCACUUUUACUACCAACUGAUAAAUUAAAACAAUCUUUACCAUUCAGUGAUACCAAGCACUUUUUGUUACAUUUUAAUAUUUUAUGAUGUAUUUAAAUGAGUAGUUAUUGUUGCAAACUCCAUUAGAAAUUUGAAUUGAGAUCAGUUUUGAAAAAGGGAAAGGGGGAUGUGAAAAAAAAAUGGUGGGGGGGGGGGGUUAAAUUUUUCUCAUUUCAGAUUUCAUAAAUAAAAAGAAAAUUUCUUCAAACAUUUUUUUGAGAGGAUUAAUAUUCAACAGCAUAGUGAUUGCUCAAAGACAAAAAAAAUAUUUUAAGUUCAUUAGACCACAUUCAUUCUGUGUCCAAAACCUAUGCUGUGUCAACUAUUUAAUCACAAUCCAAAUUUAGAGCUGAAUCCAGCUUGAAUGUUGUGUCCAUACUUGCCCUAACCGUUCAGGGUUCAACCUCUGUGGUCGUAUAAAGCUGCGCCCUGCGGAGCAUCUGGUUGAGUUUUGGUCUUUUUAUCUUAUACUAUAUGUCAUAGGUCAACUAUAUUUGGUGUAUGGAAAUAUUUUAUGAUCUAUAUGUCAAUCGUGCA
rnacentral:lncRNA from 1 species